rnacentral:lncRNA from 1 species
CAUGUAUUUAAACAACCAAACAUGCUCAUACAGACAAGCUAUAGAUAAACAUAGUUAUUCUCAAUUAAAUUUUCCUGACAAUGACAAUCAGUAGGUUAAAACCCAGCUCCUAUGAGUCUCAGAAAAAUUGUACCAAAGGAUACUCGAAGCCCAUUCAAGAACAAGCAUAAAAGCAGAACAUGCUUGCAAGAUUGACAUUACCUACUGAUUUCACAUGAUAGUUAAGCAUACAUACCCCGCUACUUACACCUAUGACUAAUGAAUAUACACAGCUUUAAAUGUGUAGGUGAAUAGCCUAAAUAACAUGUAAAACUAUAUAUUUAUUGCAGAAUACUAAAGUGACAGAAAGAUCAAAGGAAAUUCAAGGCAGCUUGUAUUCAACCCUUCUUUCAAUUUACAUGUUUCAACAAAACAUCCAGGGGGCUGAGAAAGUACCUGGAAUUCGAAAACAACACAAAAGUGAGGAAUCAGCAGCAGAAACAGUAGCAAGACAGUGAUCAGCAGCAGAGAAAACCAAGGAAAACCAACUUUAAGCCAAGAAAUGAGGUGCAACAAUCAACAGGAUUCUACCAAAACUUCAAACCACACUUUUAAACCACCCAAUUCAAAUCAUUUUAGUCCAGAUAGAUCAGAAACUUAUUUCAGGAAUUAGAAACCGAAGAGAUCAUAGAAAGAACUCAAUGAAACAGUGACCCUUAAUAAGCUUGGAUCAGAAAGAACUUUUGAAACCAAUGUCAAUCCAAUUCAAAUAUUAGAAUAAAGGACCUUUGUUUUCAGAAGUAAAAGAAAUCAGAAAAUCCUGGGAAAAAAAACUUAAUGAAACAGUAGAACACAGUCGUUUGUGAUUUCUCUCAAAAUUUUCUCUCUAAUCUCUAUCUGUGUUUGUAUUUUUUAGUCCUCUCUUUCACUAUUUCUGGAUCUCCUUGUCUUUGAACUCAGUAUGUGUGUACUCUAUAUUGUUUAGUAUUUUUAGAGUAUUCUCUUCUAACUCUUUCAGAGUACCAGACUCCUGCCCCUUUUAUAUGAACUUAGUAUCUAUAUAUAGGCAUUCAACUUAGUGCAUUUACCACUAUCAAUUCAACUUUUCAUUUCUUUAAUCAUCUACUCCAUUAGUGCAAUCCUAACCCUACUAUCCACUAGAAACUUUUUAAGUAGGUAAACACUUGAAUUAAACUUACAUUAAUCAACCGAUUAUUAUACACAUUUAACCAAACUCAAGCUAAUCCUUAAUUUAACUGACUAAAUUAUUAAACGAGAUAUGAUUUCCAAAUUCUAAACAUACUGACCACACAAACUUAUGAAACCAAGAACAAAUUCACCAAACAUUCUAAAAAACAAAACAACGAACAUAAGAUAGUUUAUAUCAGAAGAUUGGUCGAGUUUUCAAUUGAAAUCGACCAGAGAAAAGAAAAAGAGAUGGGGAAAGACGAACAAUAGAAUAAUACUAACGAGAAUAAACACAAACUAGGAAAGAACUCACCGGCCAGACUCGAACUUGGAAUUGGCACUCUGAAUCAACCCAAAAUAAUAUCAAACGUUUGUUCUUGGUGGAGAAAAAACGAGCGUCAUUAUUUUGUGAUGAAACAGGCUUGAAUAAGCCAAGAAAUCUAGCAAAAUGACCUUUCAUGCACUAGUCAGAAUUUAGGGUUCUAAGGCUCGAACUCAGAUUUGAUAUUCGAAGAGUCCUGGAUACAUUCGAGGGAAACUAAUGAUAUAUUGGGCAUGAGGGGGUUAUGGAGGGUAUGGGGUGUUAGUUUGGGGUCGAUUGGAGGUGGCGCCACCACCAGAGAAAGUUAGGGCGGCGCUAGGGUUCAUCCAUUCGAAUCGAUAUUCGAAGGGCUCCAGGGAUGUUCGAAGGUAACGGGUUACGGAUUUGGGAAGAGGGGAGUGAGGGGGUUCUACGGUGUAAAUUUGGGGCUGGUUGGCCACCGUCCGCCGCCGCGGGCGAUUUUCGGCGGGCGGUCAGUAGCGAUGUGAGGUUGGUCUCUGAAGAGAGACGAGAGACGAAGGAGGCGGGUUUUUAG